UACGUAGGGGGCGAGCGUUGUUCGGAAUUACUGGGCGUAAAGGGCGUGUAGGCGGUGCGGUAAGUCGGGUGUGGAACCUCCAGGCUCAACCUGGAGACGCCACCUGAUACUGCUGUGGCUAGAGUCCGGUAGGGGAGCGUGGAAUUCCUGGUGUAGCGGUGAAAUGCGCAGAUAUCAGGAGGAACACCAGCGGCGAAGGCGGCGCUCUGGGCCGGAACUGACGCUGAGGAGCGAAAGCGUGGGUAGCAAACAGG
rnacentral:rRNA from 1 species